rnacentral:rRNA from 1 species
AUUGAACGCUGGCGGCAGGCCUAACACAUGCAAGUCGAGCGGAUGAAGGGAGCUUGCUCCUGGAUUCAGCGGCGGACGGGUGAGUAAUGCCUAGGAAUCUGCCUGGUAGUGGGGGAUAACGUCCGGAAACGGGCGCUAAUACCGCAUACGUCCUGAGGGAGAAAGUGGGGGAUCUUCGGACCUCACGCUAUCAGAUGAGCCUAGGUCGGAUUAGCUAGUUGGUGGGGUAAAGGCCUACCAAGGCGACGAUCCGUAACUGGUCUGAGAGGAUGAUCAGUCACACUGGAACUGAGACACGGUCCAGACUCCUACGGGAGGCAGCAGUGGGGAAUAUUGGACAAUGGGCGAAAGCCUGAUCCAGCCAUGCCGCGUGUGUGAAGAAGGUCUUCGGAUUGUAAAGCACUUUAAGUUGGGGGGAAGGGCAGCAAGUUAAUACCUUGCUGUUUUGACGUUACCAACAGAAUAAGCACCGGCUAACUUCGUG